GGCAACAGCUCAAAUUUGAAAUCUGGCCUUCUGGUCCGAAUUGUAAUUUGUAGAGGAUGAUUUUGGUGCGGUACCUUCCGAGUUCCUUGGAACAGGACGCCUUAGAGGGUGAGAGCCCCGUACGGUUGGAUGCCUAGCCUUUGUAAAUCUCCUUCGACGAGUCGAGUAGUUUGGGAAUGCUGCUCUAAAUGGGAGGUAAAUUUCUUCUAAAGCUAAAUAUUGGCCAGAGACCGAUAGCGCACAAGUAGAGUGAUCGAAAGAUGAAAAGCACUUUGAAAAGAGGGUUAAAUAGCACGUGAAAUUGUUGAAAGGGAAGGAUUUAUGACCAGACUUUUUCUAGGCGGAUCAUCCGGUGUUCUCACCGGUGCACUUUGUCUAGUUUAGGCCAGCAUCGAUUUUCGGCAGCGGAUAAAAGCUUCAGGAAUGUGGCUCCUCCGGGAGUGUUAUAGCCUGUUGUAUAAUACGCCGCUGGGGAUCGAGGUACGCGCUUCUGCAAGGAUGCUGGCGUAAUGGUUAUCAAUCACCCGUCUUGAAACACGGACCAAGGAGUCGAACAUUUAUGCGAGUGUUUGGGUGUUAAACCCUCACGCGUAAUGAAAGUGAACGGAGGUGAGAGCCCUUACGGGUGCAUCAUCGACCGAUCCUGAUGUUUUCGGAUGGAUUUGAGUAAGAGCAUAACUGUUCGGACCCGAAAGAUGGUGAACUAUGCGUGGAUAGGGUGAAGCCAGAGGAAACUCUGGUGGAGGCUCGCAGCGGUUCUGACGUGCAAAUC
rnacentral:rRNA from 1 species